CCGCCAGCACCAGACCAAUCUCGCUCCUCGCUUAGCCUGCACAUUUAGAAAUACAUGCAGGGCGUGAGUACACAAUACUCAGUGGGAAAACGCCGAAAAACGAGAAAGGUGCUCUUAGAGCUAUAAGUUUGAAGCUUGCCACAUCUCAGCAAUACACAGAAAUAAGUUAGUAUUAAAUGAAUAUGUGCAUGCGGUUUUCAUAAUCAUGACAUCAUAAGUAAACGACUGCAGUCAAAGAUCUCAACAUGUAUGUACCACAUCUACAACUCAUCAUCAUCAAAGGUACUGAGAAGUAGGCCUCCCUCUCAAGUACCGUGACCGGCCGAUUCGCUGACGGCUCACAGUCACCUCUGUGUACACUAUCCCUGCUUGUGGCAUGACUCAAUUCAUUUCGUCUCAUCUCAUCAGUAGAGGGUAACAUACAAGCUCAACAUCAAAAAUUGGCAAGUCAAACAGUUCUCAAACAUCAUUUAUCUCAAAUCAUUUGAUAAGCUCAUAACAUCAUUAUAUCAUUUUAGAAAGUUCGUAUGAUAUACGUAUACUCAAAAUAUUGCCCACCUGAAGACCUUACUCAAAAACUCCCGUCAAAGCGGAGUUACUUACUUCCCUGCUCUGCUCGUGUCUUCAGGGAUCAUCGUCAUCAUCGAAGGUUCAUGUCAUAAAAUGAAUCUCGAUUAGAACUCAACGACAAAAACUCAUGCCUUAACUCAUGCUCUAUCUUAUAUUCUAUCUCUUAAUCGACUCUACAUAACUUCUUCACUCAUUUCAAAUCCUUAAGUCCAAGGAUAGGUUUCAAGAAAAUCAUGGUUCUAAGUCUCGAUUUAUCUCUCAUAUAAGACUCGUCUAAUCUCAUUAAAACACUUAGGCAACAUAAACACAUAAGGCACAUAAGAAAAUACAAUCAAACAUCAACAAAUCAUGUUCUGUUUUCCCACUGACUCAACUUCAAAUUUAACACGUUCUGACUCCGACAUCUCCUGGACUCCAGACUCAUACCAAAAGAAAGGUAUUUGAGUCUAGUUUCAUUUAAAAAAAGUAGAGUCAGAAACUCCAAGUGGUUUGGGAGAUAUGGCGUUUUUACCACGGUCUACCAUAUUCGGCAGUUUUGAGCAAUCGGAAACAUUGAUUUUUGAAAAAUAGUAAACGUUGUCAAACGGAGCUCAAAUUUGGUGGAUAUCUAGCCCAUACAGUAAGGUUGAUACCAUAAAAAUUUGGAAAGCUAGAUCACACAGGAAGCUACUGAAAUGAAUGACUUUGUCCCCUGUUCUCUGAAAUUCCCGGUAGAAAUGUGCAGAUUUGGUUUUGCAUUUUGUAAAAAUAGUAAAUCAAGUCCAAAUGACUUGAAAUUUUACCGGUAUGCUCAAGACUCAUGUAGGGACAUGCUGUAAAAUUUUCAAAGCCAUUAGACAUCGACAACCCGUCGAUCACAGUAGGUCAGUAGCCUACGAAAAAUCACCAAAAACUCAUCUCAAACUCUUAAAUGCUCAAUUCAACAUUCCUUCAAAGAAAACCAAUCAAAGCUCAUUUUAAACACAUAUAACACUCAAAAACAUUCAAAAACAUUUAAAAUACUCAUCAUACUCAAAUUAACUCUCCUCUUUUACAUCUUAACUCAAAUCUCAAGGAAAACAUUUCUACAAACGUAUCAAGUUAAUCCUCUUCUCAAUUUCAUGCUUAAAAACACUCAAUCAUUCAAAAUGACCUCAUACUUCAUAUAACUCAUUUUAUACAUAUAAAUCCCCUAUAAUCAUACCAACCAAACUUUAAUAAAAACUCAUAUAUUCACAUAAACUCUCAACAAAAACAUGACAACUUCACAAAAUGGUCAUAAAGCAAAUUAGACCUCAUGUUAUCAAUCAUCGACUUCUCAAGAUAUGAAAACUCAAAAACUCUCAUAAACUAACUCAAGUCAAAAUUUUACUUAGCUUCCAAUAGACUUAAUCAAACAUACUAAAACACCAACAUCAUGCUCAAUUACACAUAUCUUAAGCCAAAUCAUUUAUUAAACACAUAGACAAGAAAAUCCCAAUUUUUACCAAACUAAACUCUUUGACAUUUUAUGAACUCACAUGGAUCUUUAAUCUCAUCAUAUAUCUAUUAAUCUUAACCCAUUUAACUCACAUAUAAACCAUCAAUUUACAAAUUAGAGCAUAGAUACACAUAGCCCUAAUUUUAGUAAACUAACUCAUAUCAAAAUCAUCAUUUGACAUCAUAUACUCAAUUUACUCCAUCAAUCAUCAUCAUAUACAUUUCAUAGAUCAUUUUUCUCACCCCAAUUCAAGGAAAGAAAAAGAAAAUUUUUUGAAGGGUAUAAGACCCAUAUUUUCGAAAAUUUAGAGAAAAAUGAAGGGGGUGGUUUUCUUGCUUCAAACUCUCAAGAAUACUUAUAUAUAAUCUCAAACAAGUCUAAUCUAUGAAUAUGGAGAUCACUUACCCAAGUUUACACCAAAUAUCAAAUUUUCUCUUACUAACUUCAAGAUUGAAUCUCCAUGGAUCUUCUUGAAUCUAAGGAGAUGGAAGGUGUUUAAGGUGGAUUUAGAGGGUGA
rnacentral:lncRNA from 1 species